UCCCUCUUAGCUCGGUGGUAGAGCGCGUCACUAGUAUGUAGAAUAAGACUCAUAGUUAUGACGAGGUCAGUCGUUCAAGCCGACUAGAGGGAA